GCAAUUUUGGAGAGUAUUUCAUGUUCUAACUGGAAAAAUGUUUUACUCCAUUGAUGUAAGUUUGAAUAUAACAGCUCCGUAGUUCAUGACGAAAUUAAAAAUGAGCUUUUUCUUACUUACUAGCUUUCUAUAAAUGAUUAUGAGGGCUUUCUACGAAGUGGAGGACGAACUUAUGGCUGAAAAUGUAGUAAAAAGACUUGAAAAGUCACUAUUCCGAUGACAUAGUGCUUGCAUGACGGAGGCACAGGCAGAGACUGCUAUUUACUAGAAAUCAAUGCAUGCAAACGAAAUAGGAAUACAAUUCUUCAACUAGUCAGGUACUUCGACAAUGAUGGCCAGUUAUUUCUGCUUAAAAGUCUAUCAAAGUUAGUGUUAGCGGAAACGUGAAAAUAUGAAGAACAAGGAAGAACAAUAAUAUUUAACGUGGUUCAGAUCAAAAUGAUCCUACGUCCACCAGAGAACUGUUUUUAUAUUAACAACGAAAGGGGAGAGAUCCCAAAUACAACUAAGAGAAUUGCUCUAUCAAUUCUCUACUCUUCUAAUGUAUUUUGCAAAUGUCUUAGAAUAUGAGAAGACAAGAGAUAAA